UACGAAGGGGGCGAGCGUUGUUCGGAAUCACUGGGCGUAAAGGGCGCGUAGGCGGCCCCUCUUGUCGCGUGUGAAAGCCCCGGGCUCAACUGGGGAGGGUCACGCGAUACUGAUCGACUCGAAGGCAGGAGAGGGUAGUGGAAUUCCCGGUGUAGUGGUGAAAUGCGUAGAUAUCGGGAGGAACACCAGUGGCGAAGGCGACUACCUGGCCUGUUCUUGACGCUGAGGCGCGAAAGCUAGGGGAGCAAACGGG
rnacentral:rRNA from 1 species